rnacentral:rRNA from 1 species
AUACAGAGGGUGCAAGCGUUAAUCGGAAUUACUGGGCGUAAAGCGUACGUAGGCGGUUCGUUAAGUUAGAUGUGAAAGCCCCGGGCUUAACCUGGGAACUGCAUUUAAAACUGGCGAACUAGAGUUGAGUAGAGGGGAGUGGAAUUUCAGGUGUAGCGGUGAAAUGCGUAGAGAUCUGAAGGAACACCAGUGGCGAAGGCGGCUCCCUGGACUCAAACUGACGCUGAGGUACGAAAGCGUGGGUAGCAAACGGGAUUAGAAACCCUAGUAGUCC